GCUUGGGUGGUGCAGUGGUAGCACGUCGUGGUCAAAGGGUAAGCCGAUGUCCCGCGCAAGGGUGACAAUGGUCUCUGACCUCUUACUGCCAGCCUAGUUGGAUAAUGACCUUCACGAAGACCCAGGCUCAAAUCCUGGUCCGAGCA
rnacentral:tRNA from 1 species